ACCGGGUGCAGUGGUGCAUGCCUGUAGUCCCACCUACUUGGGAGGCUGAGGUGGGAGGAUCGCCUGAGCCCAGGAGUUCUGGGCUGUAGUGUGUUUUGCCGAUCAGGUGUCCGCACUAAGUUCAGCAUCAAUAUGGUGACCUCCCAGGAGCGAGGGAUCACCAAGUUGCCUAAGGAGGGGUGAAGCAGCUCAGAUCAGAAACGGAGCAGGUCAGAACUUCUGUGCUGAUCGGUAGUGGGAUCGCACCUGUGAAUAGCCACUUCACUCCAGCCUGGGCAACGUAGAGAGAUCCCACCUCU
rnacentral:SRP_RNA from 1 species